rnacentral:sRNA from 1 species
GCCAGGGGCAGUGGUGCACACCUGUAAUCCCAGUGGCUCAGGAGGCUGAGGCAGGAGGAUCACAGGUUCAAAGCUAGCCUCAGCAAAAGCGAGGUGCUAAGCAACUCAGUGAGACCCUGUAUCUA